CUCACUGUGCAGAUUUUCCCCACAGAAACAUAGAGGGGGACUCAUGAUCUCCAAAAGAUUUUGAACCAUGGCUCCAGUCAAGUCACUUGACAGUGGGACAGAGAAGAAACAGAAAAUUACCUUGGCAAAUCUUCAAAAGUGAGAUAAGAAAAUUGCUACAGUAGAGUGGACUUAAGAUUUCCUUUCUAUUGUGGAGGUAAAAAACUGGAAACAGUAUAUGCUCAUCAAUGCAAAAAGCCUUAAAUUUUAUGGUAUAUUAAAACUAUGAGAUUAAUAAUAAAGAUAUUUUAUGAGGAUGAAGACAUUUAUUCUAUACCAGUUGAUUUGCAGGAUUUUCCAUGCUGUGAUCAAAAAGUGAGACGAGCAAGAAUCAGAGAAGUCUUUGUAAUGUAAUUCCAUUUUUAUAGAAUAAAUCAUGACAAGCUUCCUUUCCCCUUACAUAUGUGUAUAUGUAUGUGUGUGUGUGUAUGUGUGUGUGUACAUACAAUAUGAACAAGGAGAAAAAAUCUAGAAGACCAGAUAUCAGAUUGUUAAUGAAGAGAAACCAAGAGCAGGUGAGGGUGGGUUAUUCAGUUAAGGGAGUAAAGGAGAAGCGGGAUGUGUAUAAAACAAAUGAACAAACAAGUGAACAAAUAAAUAACAGCAAAAAGACCCACUAUAUUGAAAAAGGAAGGCCUAUAAUAAGAGCUGCAGACAUCAUAUGAACACAGUUAUAUAAAAUUAAAUAUAUGUACAUAUAUGCAUAAGGAGAGGCAUGGAAGAAUGAUGAUUCAAAUGGUGGUUAUCUCAGAAAGAGAAUAGCAAUUGAUAUUUUAUUCUAUUUCUCAUAUUUUCUGAAGAUGAUUCGUUUAUUUUUUAUAAAUUUUUAAAAAAUAAAUAGAGAUGAGGGUCUCACUAUGUUGGCCAGGUUGGUCUGGACUCCUGGCCUCAAG
rnacentral:lncRNA from 1 species